rnacentral:rRNA from 1 species
CACGUAGGGCGCAAGCGUUGUCCGGAAUUAUUGGGCGUAAAGAGCUCGUAGGCGGUCUGUUGCGUCCGCUGUGAAAACUCGGGGCUUAACCCCGAGCCUGCAGUGGAUACGGGCAGACUAGAGGUAGGUAGGGGAGAAUGGAAUUCCCGGUGUAGCGGUGAAAUGCGCAGAUAUCGGGAGGAACACCGGUGGCGAAGGCGGUUCUCUGGGCCUUACCCUGACGCUGAG